AGAAGGAUUACAGAACUAAAGCAAGUGAAAAUUCAAGAGAUAUCACUGUUUGAUUUUAGAAUGUUGGCAACUGCAACAAACAACUUUGACAUAGCAAACAAACUUGGGCAGGGUGGUUUUGGUCCAGUAUAUAAGGGGAAAUUUAAAGAUGGACAAGAUAUUGCAGUAAAAAGACUAUCAAGAUCAUCUGGACAGGGUGUUGAAGAAUUUAUAAAUGAAGUCGAGUUGAUUUCUAAGCUUCAACACUGAAACCUUGUUAAACUUCUUGAUUGUUGCAUUGAAGGAGAAGAGAUACUGGUUUAUGAAUAUCUACCAAACAAAAGUUUAGAUGCAUACAUCUUUGAUCCACUGCAACAAAAAUGCUUCGGUUGGGGAAAGUGUUUCAACAUAAUUGAGGGAUUAGCUAGAGGAUUACUAUAUCUUCAUAGAGAUUCAAGAUUAAGAAUUAUACAUAAAGAUUUAAAGGCAAGUAACAUAUUGUUAGAUGAAGAGAUGAAUAUAAAAAUAUCAUAUUUUAGAAUGGCUAAACUUUUCAAAGGUGGUCAAGACCAAGCAAA